rnacentral:lncRNA from 1 species
GACUUUCAAGAUUACGGAAACGCGUAAAUACUGAAAGAAGACUGAGUAGGAACUAGACGUAACGCUGACAACUAUUAUCGCAAUAACAAAAAACUGAUCAAGCGCAAAAGGAAAAUUGAUUGUUUUGUUAUUCACCUAGCCUAGUUCUCUUUCAUGACGUAAGAACUUCCGUCAGCGGAAUUUCCGAAACCAACACGAGAGAGCAGAGCAGAGCAGCGGUCGCUGGCUGAUUAAAUUAUUAAAUAGGUAAUGUAGAAUAAAAAAUUUUGGAACCAAAGAGAAAAAAAAUCUCACGUAAAUUACGAAAAUUUUUAUUUCACCUGCCAUUACUGAAGAACUUGUGCAAUUUGUUUUGAGAUGGAUAGAGCAGAGGGGCAGAGUAAAUUCAUUGAAUUUAGCAACCCUGUACUAUUGGUGCAGGUUAUGUUUUCCUUCUCUUAUCAGUAAUCUGCUUUGCUUUUAUGCCAUGCCUGCCUGCCAUCACGCUUCAUACAGUGAAUAACUCUAAAUUAUUGCUCAACCUAUUCUAGAAUCUAGAUCUGCAAACUUCUCUGUCACUUCCGUCAGACCGCAACUGAUAAUACCUCCUCCUGUGAUGUACGGGCCGUCAGACAAAAAGAAAUCUUUGUUCAAUCAAGUCACGCACUUUUUCAAGAUCAUGUAUUAUGAUCCAUUCUGUUGGGGUUUGGUGAAAAGUGUGGGUGUUGCAUUUAUUGGAGUUAAGAUUGCACGGGAAUGUCGUGGAGUCGAGCUUAUGCCUGCUGUUCCAGUUCGCUAGUUAUGCUCCUCAUUGUUUUUCUAGUCUGUAUUAUAUAUGUUUCCGCCACAAAUAAACCCAACAUAGUUUUAAUCCUGACAGAUGAUCAAGAUAUUUCAAGCAUUUAUUCUAUGCCCAAAACUCAAAAACUCAUUGCAGAUGUCGGAGCUCUUUUGUUAACUCAGUAAGUAAUAAAACUCCUGUACUGUUUCUGGGAUUAUAAGGUAGGGGAAGCAUUGUAGAUGUCACAUUUCAGCCUAGACAUAUAGUAACAUCUAGAUCAUGAAUGAAACUUGACUCAGAGUGAGAGAGGU